ensembl:lncRNA
GAAGGGCUAUUGUUUCAUCUGCCCUGACAAAGAAUCCCGAAGAAUGCACGUUGUUUGUGCUUUCUAAACACUUGAGAUAUCAUUUCUUAUGGCUCAUUUGAAUGUCCAGGAAUAUCCAUUCAACACAAAUCCCUCUGCAAUCAAAUGGGAAUUCAAAGGAAAAUCUGUUCCUGUUUUAAUAUUUACAAAGUGGUUGGUUUUCGGCAGGCAUAUUUACAGUUGCCAGAGGCAUUGAUGAAAAUGGUUGGAAGCCAAAAGAUUGGUCACUCUGUGUGAUUUUCGUUUUUUUCUUUUUUGUUCCUAGUAGCGACUGAGGGAGGUGGAAUGCACAGUAAGAGCCUUAUGGAGCUUUAGAAGCAUUGAAAUGUUUGAAUUACAUUAAUGGGAGCACUAGUAAAGAGACUACAGGGACAUGUAUUGCUGGUGCUAUCUCUUGAGAGUGCUUCAACUGACCCCAGGGACAGCAGCUGUGACACUGCAGGAGAAAAGCCUUUGGAGGGGAGCAGUCAGUGUGCCCAGGGGUAGGCACUGCUGGGUCAGGAGUGAAACCAACUGGGGGGGUGGAGGGGCUGAGCCUCAGCCCAAUGGAGGUAAUCCUUCUCCAGCCACUGUGCAACUCCUUAUGGCAACUCUUCCGUGUAACUUCUUAGAGCAGCAUCAGUGAAAAUCACACAUCCACCCUAGAACUGCUCUGCUGAAAAUACGGGCCUGUAUUCAAAACAGCUGUUUGCUAUCACUUGUUGGGUCAGAUCCUGCUGAGAGCAUUGCCUGGGCUUUCCCCAGAGCCUCUCCAAGCAGUGCUGCCUCUGGCAGGAGGCAUUCAUGCCUCUGUUCAUUCUCUUUCUGCUGAGAAAAGAGGGCAGCUCUUGUUCCUCGGAACCCUUAUGGCACUGUAAAUGCCACAUCAUUAUCCAUCUACCAUCCACUGCAUUCUCUUCGGCUUUUUCACCAUUUUUGUAGCAGUAAAAGCUUUUUUGUGUUUUUUUUUUUUUUUUUUUUUAAGCCUAUUGAUGUGGUUCUAGCCUGUAACAGAGAGUCAGAGCACAUCCCUGGUAACAUGUCUGUGUUUUUACUAUGUUUCAGCUGUGACAUUCUGCAGUAAAUAGCAGUGAGGUAUGCAAGAACCAUUUUUCAAGGAAGAUAUGAGAUUGGCACUGAAUUCCUGGUAUUUGUAAGGAAAAGAAUGAGUGGAAUGGGGGAAAAAUAGUCCAUUGCUGUUUCCAUUAUUUCUCGAAAGUCUUCCAAGAUAAAGGCAGAGUAAAUCACAGUUUGAAAAUCUCUGAUAGCCCGUGUUCCAGCAGUGUGCCUGCAGGGCCUGAGCUCCCCUGCACUGGGCCUGAGGCAGAGCAGGGAUGCAGCCUUCCUUCCCUAAUGUCAUUACACACAAAUUAACACAUGAAGCUUUUCUGAGCAGAUUGGGCUUUGUUAGCAGGUAGUGAGAACACAAUGAGAACAGCUUGGAGAAAGUAACUGCAGAAGAAUGAUCCUUUGGUUUGGUUUCAGAGCAGCAGCUCUCUGAAGUGCUUCCAUUCAUGACGCUAAAGCAUGAAAAUUCAGCUUCUGCUGGUGGUGGAGCUGAUGCUGUUCUUAGUGGGUACUGCACAAAGCAGUGGCAGCUCCUGCAGGGCAGCACAGCUCAGGCCUCCAGAAGUUGUGUUUAGGAA